rnacentral:rRNA from 1 species
CACUCCUACGGGAGGCAGCAGUGGGGAAUUUUGGACAAUGGGCGAAAGCCUGAUCCAGCAAUGCCGCGUGAGUGAAGAAGGCCUUCGGGUUGUAAAGCUCUUUUGUCAGGGAAGAAACGGUGAGAGCUAAUAUCUCUUGCUAAUGACGGUACCUGAAGAAUAAGCACCGGCUAACUACGUGCCAGCAGCCGCGGUAAUACGUAGGGUGCAAGCGUUAAUCGGAAUUACUGGGCGUAAAGCGUGCGCAGGCGGUUUUGUAAGUCUGAUGUGAAAUCCCCAGGCUCAACCUGGGAAUUGCAUUGGAGACUGCAAGGCUAGAAUCUGGCAGAGGGGGGUAGAAUUCCACGUGUAGCAGUGAAAUGCGUAGAUAUGUGGAGGAACACCGAUGGCGAAGGCAGCCCCCUGGGUCAAGAUUGACGCUCAUGCACGAAAGCGUGGGGAGCAAACAGGAUUAGAAACCCCAGUAGUCCCA